GGGAGCGCGAGCGUGAAGAAACCGGCCGCCAUCUUACGGUGCCCACAAAAGUCGCCGCAGCGAUCAUGGCAACUUCUUGCAAUUACGGUCGUACCAACCGUACUGGCAAUGUUACAGGGCCUAAAUUUAUACAGGUUUCGUCAUGAGGGCUACCCAGUGAAUAAUCUGUGUAGUGUGAUACGGCUGGCUGUACAGGUUACUUCACAGCUGCCUCGACAUACUCAAGAAAUGGGUGCAGAACAUGCGUAAUGCCCACAAACUUUGAUUACCACAGCACCUCCAGAAAGUAUGUGUCACAUGGGAUUUUUAAAUGUAUUCACAGUAUAUAAUACCUUGUAUUAACUGUUGUAGAUCUAAGCCGUCUCUACAGUACACUCUCAGAAAUUAAAACCGUGAGAACCGUGAUAAUUGUUUCAGUUAAUAGGCAUGCACGUAUAUGCAUAUUAUUUCUUGAGAAUGCACUUCUCUGGCUACUGGUGUUGUUUACAUCUACUGUUGAUCACAUUCAUUUAUCACAUAUUAUAUUCUUAUAUAUAUUAUUAUAUUAACACAUAUUUGAUCACAUUAAAUUCAAAAUUCAUCAUAUAUAAGAAAAUACCAGGAGGGAAGUUGUUAUUCAUUGCUCAUUCUAACCUAAAAUUGAGUGCUACAAAUUUAGAGAGAGUACCUGUCCAUUGUCAUUCCUAAAAUAUAUAUUGUCAUUGUAGCAAGGUCA